rnacentral:lncRNA from 1 species
UCGUAGUAUUCAAGGGGCAUUGGAAAUCAAGGGGCUUUUAGCCUUUGACUGACGUCCCUGGAUUUGCGUGCUGGGUCUCAAAAGGUUCAUACCUAAACACGCGGGCCUGGUUCUCCCUUUCCUCUCUCUCACCUAAAAUUUCUCUCUUGUCCCCAAGCAACCAAGAAGGAAAAACCAUGGUAAUUCUCUUGUUAUUUAUUAUUAAUAACGAUCAUUUUCACGAUUCCGUUUCUAUUUUCUCGGAUUAAAUUUCUGUUCUUUUUGUUUUUUGUUUUCUAAAUCUUCUUUGUUUUUAGGUUUUGUUUCCUGGCCAUGUUCUAUGUCUCUUCGUCUGUUUCGUAAAUAGAUCAUUUUAAUUGUGUUGUUCAUAUCACUUCAAUCUGGUCUUGUUUCUUUCUUUAUCAUUUUUAACCAAUUUUUCAGUUUUUUUUUUUCGUUACUUUCCCUGUUUUUCCCGAGAUCCAAACGGCACCUUUGAAAAAAUGGAAAAUUUUUUCGUCGCAAUGUUUUAGAUGGAUGAUCGUCAAAAAUUGUUGCUCCAUUUCUGUUCGUCUCCUAUUUUGUGUGAUUUCUCAGCGUAUAUUGCGGAAGAAAAGGGGAUUUUUUUUUUAUGUUAAUGGGUAAAAUUGUGGGUAGAAAAUCGAAAUUGGAGACAUGAAUCUGUGUAAAUACCAUCUCACACCACACUAUCCUGCAAUUCAACCGCCUGGCGAAGCGAUCGCCAUAGACAUCUCAACCUGUCAUGUUUUCUUGUUCCUAGUUUUAGACAUCACCCCCUAUUAAUCAAAUAGACCUUUUCUUUUUUCUUUUUCUUUUUUUCUUUCUCAAAUGAACCAUGAGGAUGAGAAAAGAAAAAACAAAAAGACCAACUUGUAUUUCACUGAAACCCAUUUUGCAUUUGUUGUCUUCAUAGAAGACUCCAGUUAUCCAUGUGGGAACAGGAUUCCGAAACAAAUGAUGUAGCCUAACCUGUUUUUGGUUCAAAAUGAAGUGCCAUUNNNNNNNNNNNNNNNNNNNNNNNNNNNNNNNNNNNNNNNNNNNNNNNNNNNNNNNNNNNNNNNNNNNNNNNNNNNNNNNNNNNNNNNNNNNNNNNNNNNNUAUAUAUAUAUAUAUAUAUAUAUAUAUAUAUAUAUAUAUAUAAAUAUGUAAAUAGCUUUAGGCUAUGAACUAUUCAUUGAGUAGAUUUGUGCAUACUUUGGGUUAUGAACUUUCAUUAUGUAGAUUUAUACAUAACUUCAGACUAUGAACAUUUAUUUAUUUAUUUUAUAGUUUCUGACUAUAUAAUAUUGUUUGGUAUAACAUCCAGUUAUACCGUAUGAUUAAAAAUAAAUAAUUAGGGAUCAUAUACAUAGCUUCUAAUCAUGUAUCUGUGAUUCUGUAAUUUUUCCCCAUAACUUCUGAUGAUAAGAAUUGCACAUAUUUUUCAUAACUUCUGGUUAUGAAUUAACCCCAUAAUUUAUAAUUUAUACCAUAACUUCUGGUUAUAAAGAUUAUACACAUUUAUGUAUUCAAAAUAAAUUAAAAUAGAAAUCAAAGGGUAAUAACAUAGAAAAUAAUGAUAUAAGUUUAUCACAUACCUUUUUGAGAAAAAUAAAAGAAAAUCUUUCUAUUUUUCUGAAGGGAAUAACAUCUUUCUAUUUCUCUGAAGGGAAGAACGUAUUUCUAUUUCUCUGAAUAGAAGAGUCUCCUUACAUCUUUCUUAUAAAAUUAUAAAGUGAAAGGAGAAGAAAACAAGAAAGAGAAAUCAGAAUGUAGGAAGAAAAUAUAAUUUUUAUUAGAGGUAUCUCUUUUUAUAGAGAGUCACAAAAAGAUAUACAUCAAUAUGAAUGAUCAUCCACAAGUUCACAUAAUCUGAUAAAUUCUCAUAUUUUAUAACAAAAAACUUAUUUUUUAUUUUUAUUUUUAUCUUUAUUUGAUUUAUACAUAUUUUAAAAAUAAAUAGAAAAAUUAAAAUAUUUUUAGUUGAAUUUUAAGAUAAAAUUUGAAAACAGAAAAUAAUAAUAACUUUAAAAUGGGUAGCAAUUUUAAAAAAUAUGAGGUUUUACAAUUUUUAUUUUUUUUUACCAUAUCAUAUUUUAAAAUUUUUAAAAUUAAUUUUUAAAAAUAUAAAACAAGUCUAUAUUUGUUAUAUAAGGUUUUGUUUUUAAUUACAAAAAUUAUUUUUUUAAUUAUAAAAAUUAUUAUUACUUUCUAUCAUUAAAAAUAAAAAACAAAGAAAUGUAUCGUAGUAUUCAAGGGGCAUUGGAAAUCAAGGGGCUUUUAGCCUUUGACUGACGUCCCUGGAUUUGCGUGCUGGGUCUCAAAAGGUUCAUACCUAAACACGCGGGCCUGGUUCUCCCUUUCCUCUCUCUCACCUAAAAUUUCUCUCUUGUCCCCAAGCAGCCAAGAAGGAAAAACCAUGGUAAUUCUCUUGUUAUUUAUUAUUAAUAACGAUCAUUUUCACGAUUCCGUUUCUAUUUUCUCGGAUUAAAUUUCUGUUCUUUUUGUUUUUUGUUUUCUAAAUCUUCUUUGUUUUUAGGUUUUGUUUCCUGGCCAUGUUCUAUGUCUCUUCGUCUGUUUCGUAAAUAGAUCAUUUUAAUUGUGUUGUUCAUAUCACUUCAAUCUGGUCUUAUUUCUUUCUUUAUCAUUUUUAACCAAUUUUUCAGUUUUUUUUUUCGUUACUUUCCCUGUUUUUCCCGAGAUCCAAACGGCACCUUUGAAAAAAAGGAAAAAAAUUUCGUCGCAGUGUUUUAGAUGGAUGAUCGUCAAAAAUUGUUGCUCCAUUUCUGUUCGUCUCCUAUUUUGUGUGAUUUGUCAGCGUAUAUUGCGGAAGAAAAGGGGAUAUUUUUUUUAUGUUAAUGGGUAAAAUUGUGGGUAGAAGAUCGAAAUUGGAGACAUGAAUCUGUGUAAAUACCAUCUCACACCACACUAUCCUGCAAUUCAACCGCCUGGCGAAGCGAUCGCCAUAGACAUCUCAACCUGUCAUGUUUUCUUGUUCCUAGUUUUAGACAUCACCCCCUAUUAAUCAAAUAGACCUUUUCUUUUUUCUUUUUCUUUUUUUCUUUCUCAAAUGAACCAUGAGGAUGAGAAAAGAAAAAACAAAAAGACCAACUUGUAUUUCACUGAAACCCAUUUUGCAUUUGUUGUCUUCAUAGAAGACUCCAGUUAUCCAUGUGGGAACAGGAUUCCGAAACAAAUGAUGUAGCCUAACCUGUUUUUGGUUCAAAAUGAAGUGCCAUUUCUUGUUUGAAAUGGGCAGAGUUGGUCUAUUGGUAGAAUGCCUUAUUCUUUUCUUUGGGAGUUUAGUCUUGGAAUUUCUAUUGGAGGAUUUUUAGUUGAUGCAUUGCAGUGCCUCAUUUUUUUCCGAGAGGGCUUUACAGAAAGAUGAACUCAUGGUUAUUUGAUUUGACAGACCACCUCAAAGCGUCUUGCAGACAGGAAGGUUGCAAAGU